CCCCACCCCCCUCACACACACACACAAAAAGAGCUCAGGAGUUUCACUGGCAUCCAGCAGAUCUCCUCCCAAAGUCGAAACCUGCAGUCACGCCCCCCCCCAAUUUACUGAUAUUAGUUGGAGAUGGUCCUGUUGCAUGGGAUAACUUGGUGUACAGAAAGUGCUUAAAAUGCAGCCUUGGGGAUGAUUAUGGUCUUAAGAUCGUUAACACUUAAAAAUAAUAAUAAUUUAAAAACUUCCUUUCAGGACAUGCAGUAUAAAAAAAAAGUAAUGGUAAAUGAGGCUGUAUCUUCAGAAUGUGUGUUUAGGUAGCAGGCCGCGUGCUAAAAAAACAAAACAACAACAACAAAAAAACCCCAAAAAAAAAAAAACGAUUCUAAGCUUAAAGAAUACCAAAAACCUCAUUAAGCAAGAGUAUUUAAGUCAUUUUUUUUAAGUAAAAGGUAAUAUGAAUUUCCAAGAUGAACAGAAUAUGCCAUCUUUAGAUCAUUUUUAAAUAGUUCAAAAAGUACAAUUUGCUUUACUUAGUUUAUUGCCACUCAUUAAGCUUUUUACCUAAAUGGAAUGUUUCAUUUGCUCCUACCCUAGUCCUGGGCCUGCUAGGCAGUCAGCAAGUCAAGGAUUUCUUAAACUUAGAGAUCCUGGCUUAACUAGUUAGUUGGUGUUUCUGAUUUAACUAGUUGGUGUUUCCCACUGUCUUGCUAAUUUUAUUCAUCAGACCCUAUCUGACACACAAAUAGAAUUGGCCUAAAUCCCUUCUUUUGGGCAUAUUAAACAAGAAAUAAGUUUGGAAUUAAAGAAACACUGAAUUUGAACUUUUGGUAUAACUUACCCCCUCCCCUUCUCUCUCCUCCCACACCCUGCUUCCUGCAGGCGAACAUAUUAAAGACUUAAAAUAUAGGAGUCUUUUGCCGUCUCUAUGACUAUCUUAAAACAGAUAAGCUGCAUGCUUCCAAUACUGUUACCCUGCAUCCUGGUUAAGAUUAUAGGAGAAAAAAAAAGUGCCUGUCUCUUAAGAGACUAUCCAUGUACACAAUCAGACUGCCAUUCUCGAGGGUAAACAAUAUUAGUCUGCUUUCAAUUACAGGUCUUUUGCAUGGGGAAUACAAAACACUUGGCCAAAAAAAAAAAAAAAAAAAAUGCCAGUAGUAUAUUGGAUGAAGCUUUAUAUUAAAAGGGAGAAUGCUGGUACUCUUCACAAAAGCAAUUGCUCUCAUUGCAUCCUUAUUCUUAAACAAAUCUCCCAACUUCCCACUCUCCAGCUUAGCCACAGGAAGAUUCCCCAGGAACAUUAUGAAUAUGUGUGACUGCAGCUUGUCAAAGCACCCCUCCCCCGACCCUGAUUUCAAAACAGGGUCUCACUUCGUAGCUCUGGCUGGCCUGGAACUCUGGCUGGCCCUGACCUCCCGGAGAUCUUCCUGCCUCUGCCUCCUAAGUGCUUGCGCCACUACAAUAUAAGGGAGCAUUAUUAAAUUUACCUGGAGGGGAGAUUCAUCUAAAAUAACCCACUUCAGACUCCAGAUGAAAAGGAAAACGGGCCCUUGCCAGCUAGGGCUUAGAAUGUAAACUUCUGAUCAUAAUUACUGCGUGGUUCAUCCUUCUCUUGGCUCUGUAUACAAAUGUAAAGGACAGGGAGGCAACUGUAUAUAUAGUGAGUAAAAUGCCCUUUUAGAUUGUAACAAUAGUCUCGUUAUUUCAUAAUCUUUGAGAGAGGGCAGAAGAGAGGAAGAACAGUGAUGUAAGAAUGUAACAAAGACGAUCAAGCUGGGGGCAUGGAGAAAGGACUAAUAGUACAGUGCGGCAAGCCUGCCCAGGGCCGCACAGUCCAUGUCGCAACAACAGUUCCAGGAAGAGGAGCAGCAUCCCUUGCCUGGGGGAGCUGAGGGAAGCAUCACCACCAGGCCCUUUGAGCCAGAAUUCUGUCAGCAGCAGACAGGGAAAGACAGGGGAGGCAAGGAGAACAGACCACGAAGCCUGCGAGAAGGAGCGUCUAGCAUGGCUUGUUCAAGUAGGAACAGGAGACAAGGUGGGUAGGCACAGUUCCUAGGACACGCAGAUGGCUUUGAACUUCUUCCUAGAGAGACCCUGAACAUUCUAGUGGUUGGGAAGUGUUGUUAGAAUAAAUUAUUUUAAAACACAGUUUAAUAUAACUUAAGGGUAUAACUCAGGGGUAGAGCCUUUCUCUAGUGUGUUUCAAGGGGGCCUGGGUUCAUUCCUAGAACUCCAGUGGGGAGGCGCAGAGAGGACAGCAAAUGGAUGUUUUUCUCUUCUGUAACUUUGCCCCAGCAGACUCACCUCAAAACAGGGUACCAGAGAUUCACAACUGAAGAUGAUUUGCACUCGGCUCAAGAUGAAACCUUCGGUCACUCUACAGGACCCAAAGACCCUGAAUGCCACACUGGAACCAAGACAAACUAAGGAGACAGCCACAGAGCUGAGGGGACUUGUUUGCUUCUCUGCAGGAUGUGACAGAGAACUUUAUCUAUCUUUAUUGUUAGGAAUCUGGGACUAGAGGAAUCUGAGACUUGCCAAAAAAAAAAAAAAAA